rnacentral:rRNA from 1 species
CAAAAACAUGUCCUUUUGUUUUUAAUUUAAGGUCUAGCCUGCCCACUGAUUUGUAAUUAAAUGGCCGCAGUAUUUUAACUGUGCAAAGGUAGCAUAAUCAUUAGUCUUUUAAUUGAAGGCUUGUAUGAAUGGCUGGACGAAACAUAUACUGUCUCAUAAAAAUUUAUAUUAGAAUUUUAUUUUUUAGUGAAAAAGCUAAAAUUUUUUUGAAAGACGAGAAGACCCUAUAGAUCUUUAUAAUUAUAUUAUUUAUUAAUAUUUAGAUUUUUUUGUUAUUAAUUAAUAUUUAAUUAUUUUGUUGGGGUGACAUUAAAAUUUAUUUAACUUUUAAUAAAUAUUUUAUACAUUUAUUUAUGAUUAAUUGAUCCAUUAUUAUUGAUUAUAAAAUUAAGUUACCUUAGGGAUAACAGCGUAAUCCUUCUGGAGAGUUCUUAUCGAUAGAAGGGGUUGCGACCUCGAUGUUGGACUAAAAUAAAUUUUGGGUGUAGCAGCUCAAUUAUUAAGUCUGUUCGACUUUUAAUUUUUU